rnacentral:tRNA from 2 species
GCCUGCGUAGCAUAGCUGGUUAAUGCACCCGACUAGUAACCGGGAGAUCGUAUGUUCGAAUCACACCGCAGGCA